GCACAAGCGGUGGAGCAUGUGGUUUAAUUCGAUGCAACGCGAAGAACCUUACCUGGCCUUGACAUGUCCGGAAUCCUGCAGAGAUGCGGGAGUGCCUUCGGGAAUCGGAACACAGGUGCUGCAUGGCUGUCGUCAGCUCGUGUCGUGAGAUGUUGGGUUAAGUCCCGCAACGAGCGCAACCCUUGUCCUUAGUUGCCAGCGAGUAAUGUCGGGAACUCUAAGGAGACUGCCGGUGACAAACCGGAGGAAGGUGGGGAUGACGUCAAGUCCUCAUGGCCCUUACGGCCAGGGCUACACACGUACUACAAUGGUCGGUACAGAGGGUUGCAAUACCGCGAGGUGGAGCCAAUCCCAGAAAGCCGAUCCCAGUCCGGAUCGAAGUCUGCAACUCGACUUCGUGAAGUCGGAAUCGCUAGUAAUCGCGGAUCAGCUAUGCCGCGGUGAAUACGUUCCCGGGC
rnacentral:rRNA from 1 species